AUGCAUCCUUCUCUGACAGACCUGGAGCAGUUAAUGUCUCCUGUUAAGGUUUCCACUAGAGAUGCAAGAAAAAGAAGUCCUCACACUUUUUGUCUUGUUGUGGCAGCCAAGAUUGAAUGGGGGAUAACAGGA
rnacentral:snoRNA from 1 species